rnacentral:rRNA from 1 species
GACGAACGCUGGCGGCGUGCCUAACACAUGCAAGUCGAACGGAGUAAAUAGGAGCUUGCUUUUAUUUACUUAGUGGCGGACGGGUGAGUAACGCGUGAGUAACCUGCCUUACAGAGGGGGAUAACGUCUGGAAACGGACGCUAAUACCGCAUAAAAUUAUUAAGUCGCAUGGCAAAAUAAUCAAAGGAGUAAUCCGCUGUAAGAUGGACUCGCGUCCGAUUAGCUAGUUGGCGGGGUAAAUGCCCACCAAGGCGACGAUCGGUAGCCGGACUGAGAGGUUGAACGGCCACAUUGGGACUGAGACACGGCCCAG